CGACGGCUUUGCCGCGCGCCAAUUUCUCUCGAGCGUUAUGAAGUGGCGUUAAAUAGAUACGGCAGAAGCGUCUUUUUACCGGGAUGAGUCGCGGAAUGCUUGGACGAGAUGUUAACGGUUAAGAGAGAUGAGUGGCCUGGAGCUGAGAUUUAUUGGUUCACACGUAGAAAUAAGAACGGUCCCGUACGUGGAAUAAUCAUGUUACAACAUGAAAUAUAAGCAUUUUAAGUACAUAACACGUGUAUGUAUGUAUGUAAAAG
rnacentral:misc_RNA from 1 species